ACAGGCAUCCGCCUGAGAACUACGAGCAUAAACGCUUAAAACUCUAAGGACUUGGCGGUGCUCUAAACCCACCUAGAGGAGCCUGUUCUAUAAUCGAUAACCCACGAUUCACCCGACCACUUCUUGCCAAAACAGCCUAUAUACCGCCGUCGCCAGCCCACCUCAUGAGAGCACAACAGUGAGCCCAAUAGCCCACAACCCACUAACAAGACAGGUCGAGGUAUAGCCUAUGAAGUGGAAGAAAUGGGCUACAUUUUCUAAAAUAGAAAACCCAACGAAAGGGGACUUGAAACCCGUCCCCAGAAGGCGGAUUUAGCAGUAAAGCAGGACAAUC
rnacentral:rRNA from 1 species